GUGGUGAAAAUGGUUAACAUAUUCAGCUGAUAACAGAAAGGUUGGGGGUUCAAGUCCUCUC
rnacentral:tRNA from 1 species